rnacentral:rRNA from 1 species
CCUACGGGUGGCAGCAGUGGGGGAUAUUGGACAAUGGGGGAAACCCUGAUCCAGCGACGCCGCGUGAAUGAAGAAGUAUUUCGGUAUGUAAAGCUCUGUCAGCAGGGAAGAAAGAAAUGACGGUACCUGCCCAAGAAGCCCCGGCUAACUACGUGCCAGCAGCCGCGGUAAUACGUAGGGGGCAAGCGUUAUCCGGAAUUACUGGGUGUAAAGGGAGCGUAGACGGUGAUGCAAGUCUGGAGUGAAAGGCGGGGGCCCAACCCCCGGACUGCCUCGGAAACUGUUUAACUUGAGUGCAGGAGAGGUAAGCGGAAUUCAUAGUGUAGCGGUGAAAUGCGUAGAGAUCAGGAGGAACACCAGUUGCGAAGGCGGCUUACUGGACUGUAACUGACGUUGAGGCUCGAAAGCGUGGGGAGCAAACAGGAUUAGAUACCCUAGUAGUC